rnacentral:rRNA from 1 species
AAUCUAUCAAUACACACACCGUGAACUUACAUCUGUCUGGCCUCUCAAAGGGGUAAAAGCCUUUGAGGCGUCUCGGUCUGGAUUAACUUCCAGACGGAGUCGGGCCCUUCUUCUACACUCCGGUGUGGUCGAAGGGUUGGUCUGUCUAACCAUCAACACCAAACCAAACCAAACUAAAGUGAACAUGUAGCGGCCUAGCCGAUACAUUUAAACCAAGACAACUCUCAACAACGGAUAUCUUGGCUCUCGCAACGAUGAAGAACGCAGCGAAAUGCGAUACGUAGUGUGAAUUGCAGAAUUCCGUGAAUCAUCAAAUCUUUGAACGCAUAUUGCACUCGAGGCUUCGGCCAAGAGUACGUUUGCCUCAGCGUCGGGUUAAUAUCACUCCCCCCACUCACCCUCCGGGUGAAUGAUUCGAGUGGACCUGGCCGUCUCAGUAUGCAUACUUCGGUAUCAGACUGGGUCGGCUGAAGUGCAGAGGUAAUGCAAGGACCCUUAUGGGCCGCAACUGGGUAGGCUUUCUCACGAUUGCUCUUAGUUGUUGGCUUGGGCUUUGAUUGUUACCCACAAACAGGAACCUUAACCCUUAUUUCUCGACCUGAGCUCAAGCGAGGACMCCCGCUGAACUUAA